GUGCUCGGUGGGGCUGGAGCGGCUGGCUUACCUCCUCGUGGCUUAUAGCCUGGGUGCCUCAGCCGCCUCACUCCUGGGCCUGCUGGGCCUGUGGCUGCCACGCCCGGUGCCCCUCGUGGCUGGAGCAGGGGUGCACCUGCUGCUCACCUUCAUCCUCUUUUUCUGGGCCCCUGUGCCUCGGGUCCUGCAACACAGCUGGAUCCUCUAUGUGGCAGCUGCCCUUUGGGGUGUGGGCAGUGCCCUGAACAAGACUGGACUCAGCACAUUCCUGGGAAUCUUGUACGAAGACAAGGAGAGACAGGACUUCAUCUUCACCAUCUACCACUGGUGGCAGGCUGUGGCCAUCUUCACCGUGUACCUGGGCUCGAGCCUGCACAUGAAGGCUAAGCUGGCG
rnacentral:lncRNA from 1 species